rnacentral:rRNA from 1 species
GCAGGCGGAUCGGCAGGCAUCUUGUGAAAGCCCACGGCUCAACCGUGGAAUUGCAGGGUGAACCGCCGGUCUCGAGGCAAGUAGGGGUCAACGGAACUAUGGGUGGAGCGGUGAAAUGUGUAGAUAUCCAUGGGAACGCCGAUGGCGAAGGCAGUUGACUGGGCUUGUCCUGACGCUCAGGCACGAAAGCGUGGGGAGCGAACGGGAUUAGAUACCCCGNGUAGUCCACGCCNGUAAACGAUGCACACUAGUGUCGGGGAGGUUCUCAUGCCGUCCCGGCCGAAGGUAACCUGUUAAGUGUGCCGCCUGGGGAGUACGGUCGCAAGGCUAAAACUCAAAGGAAUUGACGGGGGCUCACACAAGCGGUGGAGCAUGUUGCUUAAUUCGAGGCAACGCGAAGAACCUUACCAGGGUUUGACAUGCACGGAUUAGCUUCCUGAAAGGGAAGUGACGCCUUCGGGUGGAACGUGCACAGGUGCUGCAUGGCUGUCGUCAGCUCGUGCUGUGAAGUGUCGGGUUAAGUCCCUUAACGAGCGCAACCCCUAUCGCUAGUUACUAACGCGUUAUGGCGAGGACUCUAGCGAGACUGCCGGUGUCAAAUCCGGAGGAAGGUGGGGAUGACGUCAAGUCCUCAUGGCCCUUACGCCCUGGGAUGCAAACGUGCUACAAUGGCGUGUACAGAGCGAUGCGAGAUCGCGAGAUGGAGCAAAUCGCAAAAAGCACGCCCCAGUUCGGAUUGCAGGCUGAAAUUCGCCUGCAUGAAGC